rnacentral:lncRNA from 1 species
AACAGAGCUUCUUCACGUGUAAUCAGGAUUUUUUUUUACAUUUUAUUUCAGGAGCUGGAGCAGAUACAAGCGUUGAAUGGAAUUCUGGAGGCGUAUCUGGAUUGGAAACUUCACAAACCUUUAUUCUGGUGCUGGAUGUUGUUUGAGAGCCAGACUGCCGGUCUGCAAGCAGUAACCUUGCCUAGCUUUGAGUUGUCACUCACAGUGAUGCCCUGGCACUCCAGGACUCUGAAUCUGGCAGACAAGAGCCCUCACUCACACUGGCACCUCUCCAAUUUGAAAUGAAGUUAUAAAGAAGUCUCCUGCUAGCAGAAGAGGGUCCUGAGCACUUGGCAGGGGCUUCAUUUUUCACUCUCAGUGUG